rnacentral:rRNA from 1 species
UACGUGAAACCGUUCGGGGGUAAACGGACAGAGCCCGUGAAUCUGGGCGGCGGAAUUCAGGAUGGCGAGCGUGUCCUCGCGGCGCGUUCGUCGUUUGAUAUUUCCGUCGUCGAUCCAACCCGCAGACGUCGCGAUCUGUUCGCGGUCGGUCCCUGCUCGGAGGAGCCGCGCGCGAGUUCGUUGUGGUCGCGUUUCCGCGCGUCACACGGCGAAGGCGCGGGUCUCUGGCUGGCCGACGGACAGUAGGUGAAACGGUGUCCGGUGCGGUCGUCUCGUACGCGCGCGCACCGGUACCGAUCGGCGACGAAUUCUUCGGGCCUCUUUCCGACCCGUCUUGAAACACGGACCAAGGAGUCUAACAUGCGCGCGAGUCGCGGGGUGUCGAGCGUACCACGGUGCGUUCGUUACGUUGCGAAACCCGUUCAUGUCGAAGGCGUAAUGAAAGUAAAUGGGGAAGAUGGUGUUCCGAGUACACGUUCCGCGGUCAUCGGUACCGCGGCCGGACACCCGCAUUCCCGGGGCGUCUCAACGGCCCGUCGCGGAUGCGGACGGUCGUCUCUCGGGGCGGUCGUCGGUCUGCGACGAACCGAGGCGCACCUAUAGCGUGCACGUUGGUACCCGAAAGAUGGUGAACUAUGCCUGGCCAGGAUGAAGUCAGGGGAAACCCUGAUGGAGGUCCGCAGCGAUUCUGACGUGCAAAUCGAUCGUCUGAGCUGGGUAUAGGGGCGAAAGACUAAUCGAACCAUCUAGUAGCUGGUUCCCUCCG